AAUGAUACGCAUUUCAUGAAUUGAUGAAGAGAUGUUGAGAAUCCUGCAAACAUUCUCCAUCUUUAUCUGCGUAAUGUGACAUCAGUGUGUCCGUUGGUUUGUCGUGUACGGACUUUGAUAAGUCUUCGCUCUGACUGAAACGUUUUUGAAUUUCGAUUUUCACACUAUAGGAAACAAAUUUUUGGCAUUAUUCUCACUCCUGGUGAAUGCUGGGUAAAAUAUUGUCCAAUCAAAUGUAGGUUAGCAGUUUUUAUCUGACAUGAGGCAUCCAUUUGUUUUUGGGUUUCAUGAAUCAUAUCAAAGACUCCUCUGUAGUUUUUUAAUGUCCAGUUUUGUUACAUUUAAUUAAAAAAAAUGAAAAGGGGGAUUUCUUGUCUUAAUAAUUCAAAGAACUUUAAGAGUUCAUCUCCCAUUUUUUUAAAAGAAAAAGAUGGAAGACAUCUUGUCGUAACUUUCUUUAAAGGAGACUUUGUCAGGGUGCCUUCGGCUCUGAAAUCAAACUGUGGCAGAACUGGAAAUUAGAAAUGCUGAAUUCUUAUUUCUUAUUGAAAAUAGAAAAGCUUUUACAAGUGAUAAGGUCAGUUUAAUAAAAAGGAAAAUAAUAAAAACUAAAGGAAAUAAUAGAGAAACUCAGUUAUUUGCAAAUGAAACAAAAUGCAUGUUAAUGUAAUGCAUUCAUCCUCUCUCUGUUCUUUUUAUUUUAGCGGUCCCUCUUCUCUUUGGCUCAGCCUUCCUCUGGUUGACUUUACUCUCUCUCUCUCUCUCUCUCUCUCUCUCUCUCUCUCUCUCCUUCUGUACCAUAUGGUGUAGCAUGGUACAUUUAGCUUGUCAGUGAUAAUGGAUGGCCAUGGAAGCCCAGUUUUGCUUUAAGCGCUAGCUUGCUGCUCGCUGUCUCAGUAUGUGUGUGUGUGUGUGUGUGUGUGUGUGUGUGUGUGUGUGUGUGUGUGUGUGUGUGUGUGUGUGUUUGUGUUGGAUGAUGGCUGCUGAUGCUCUCGGCUGUGGGAUGAGGGAUCAUGAAGCAAAAUCAGCCCUAACAUGCACCCAACACACUCUUUCUCUCUCUCACACACACACACACACACACACACACACACACACACACACACACA